GACGAACGCUGGCGGCGUGCUUAACACAUGCAAGUCGAACGGAAAGGCCCUGCUUUUGUGGGGUGCUCGAGUGGCGAACGGGUGAGUAACACGUGAGUAACCUGCCCUUGACUUUGGGAUAACUUCAGGAAACUGGGGCUAAUACCGGAUAGGAGCUCCUGCUGCAUGGUGGGGGUUGGAAAGUUUCGGCGGUUGGGGAUGGACUCGCGGCUUAUCAGCUUGUUGGUGGGGUAGUGGCUUACCAAGGCUUUGACGGGUAGCCGGCCUGAGAGGGUGACCGGCCACAUUGGGACUGAGAUACGGCCCAGACUCCUACGGGAGGCAGCAGUGGAGAAUAUUGCACAAUGGGCGGAAGCCUGAUGCAGCAACGCCGCGUGCGGGAUGACGGCCUUCGGGUUGUAAACCGCUUUCGCCUGUGGCGAAGCGUGAGUGACGGUAAUGGGUAAAGAAGCACCGGCUAACUACGUG
rnacentral:rRNA from 1 species